rnacentral:rRNA from 1 species
GGACCAUCAUGUCGGUCGUGCCUCGGUACGUACUGGUAUUGUUGGUUUCUCCCUUCUGACGGACCAUGAUGUCAUUUAUUUGGUGUUGUGGGGAAUCAGGACUGUUACUUUGAAAAAAUUAGAGAGUUUAAAGCAGGCAAAUUGCUUGAAUACAUUAGCACGGAAUAAUGAAAUAGGACGUUUGAUUCUAUUUUGUUGGUUUCUAGGAUCGACGUA